UAGGGAAUCUUCCACAAUGGGCGAAAGCCUGAUGGAGCAACGCCGCGUGGGUGAAGAAGGUCUUCGGAUCGUAAAACCCUGUUGUUAGAGAAGAAAGUGCGUGAGAGUAACUGUUCACGUUUCGACGGUAUCUAACCAGAAAGCCACGGCUAACUACGUGCCAGCAGCCGCGGUAAUACGUAGGUGGCAAGCGUUAUCCGGAUUUAUUGGGCGUAAAGGGAACGCAGGCGGUCUUUUAAGUCUGAUGUGAAAGCCUUCGGCUUAACCGGAGUAGUGCAUUGGAAACUGGGAGACUUGAGUGCAGAAGAGGAGAGUGGAACUCCAUGUGUAGCGGUGGAAUGCGUAGAUAUAUGGAAGAACACCAGUGGCGAAAGCGGCUCUCUGGUCUGUAACUGACGCUGAGGUUCGAAAGCGUGGGUAGCAAACAGG
rnacentral:rRNA from 1 species